rnacentral:rRNA from 1 species
UACAGAGGUGGCAAGCGUUGUUCGGAAUUACUGGGCGUAAAGGGCUCGUAGGCGGCCAACUAAGUCCGACGUGAAAUCCCAAGGCUUAACCUUGGAACUGCGUCGGAUACUGGAUGGCUUGAAUUCGGGAGAGGGAUGCAGGAAUUCCAGGUGUAGCGGUGAAAUGCGUAGAUAUCUGGAGGAAUACCGGUGGCGAAGGCGGCAUCCUGGACCGACGAUUGACGCUGAUGAGCGAAAGCUAGGGAGCAACGGG